rnacentral:rRNA from 1 species
UACAGAGGGAGCAAGCGUUAUCCGGAAUGAUUGGGCGUAAAGCGUCUGUAGGUGGCUCGUAAAGUCUAAUGUUAAAGCCCAGGGCUUAACCUUGGAAAAGCAUUGGAGGACUCACGAGCUGGAGUGCGGUAGAGGUAGAGGGAACCCCUUGUGGAGCGGUGAAAUGCGUAGAUAUAAGGGAGAACACCAGCGGCGAAGGCGCUCUACUGGGCCUGCACUGACACUGAGAGACGAAAGCUGGGGGAGCAAA